rnacentral:rRNA from 1 species
UACAGGAGGUCUCAAGCGUUGUUCGGAUUCAUUGGGCGUAAAGGGUGCGUAGGCGGCGCGGUAAGUCGGGUGUGAAAUCUCGGAGCUUAACUCCGAAACUGCAUUCGAUACUGCCGUGCUUGAGGACUGGGAGAGGAGACUGGAAUUUACGGUGUAGCGGUGAAAUGCGUAGAUAUCAAGUGGAACACCAGUGGCGAAGGCGAGUCCCUGGACAACUCCUGACACUGAGGCACGAAAGCUAGGGGAGCAAACAGG